ACAAAUUUCCCUUGAUCAUCGCGCACACAUGCCCCUAUACAAUAUAUGUUCAGCUCUGCAUAGCAUGCUGUAUCUAUAUUACAUUUUAGUGCUCCCAUCGGGGGUUUGGUCCACGUAUGCCUCGCCGUGACUGCGUUAAUACUACUGUUGUUUGUCUUUAGCUGUUGCGCCAAUUCCCAAUCAUAAAGGGUGUCUUUUGUUCUUCUAAUUACCUCAUACACCGUUGGUAAUUUCU
rnacentral:lncRNA from 1 species